CAGCUCUACAGUCACUCCCUGCCAGUUUGUCAGUUAACCUUCAGUGUGUGAGACCUCAGCCGUGUUUGAAGAUGCUGCCUGCCAGCCUGGAGAGAGCCCUGUCUUCGCUGCAACAUUUCUACAUUAACUUGAGACUCCUGCUUUGUCCAGCCCGCUUGCUUCCCCUCCCCAGUCCUUUUACCUGUAUUUUGAAGAAACCUGAGUUACCGUUCAUCUGCUUCUUUGGCCGCUUCUGAGUCCAUUGAACUGAAACCUAACACAUAAUGUUGCUUUAAAGCCUGUUAAUGUCACCUUUAAUAUUUAUUUAUGUAUUUCCAGGAUAUGUAAACAAAGACCUCUUUCUGUCAAAAGCAGUUGAGACAUGUUUGUAAGAAAGGGGGGGGAAUUCUACUUCUCACCAGGAUUUGCUCCUCCACCACAAAUAACCUGCUCAUGCAUUGCCACAGAGUGAAUCUGUCCCACUGUUCACUCCUGUAAAUAUGACUGAUCCCUUUUAAUCCACACCAUUGUAUAUUCAUUCGUCGCUCAGGUUCUCCUAAAUCUCUUAAUUCUUUGGUUUAGACAGUAAAGAAAGCAGAAAGAAAAAUUGAGAAAGAGAGACAUGGAGGCAGCGACUUGUGAUGCUGUUUAUUGCUGGAGUCACUCCAGCCCAACCUAUCUCAUUAGUCUGUUUGUGAUUAAAAACUACUCUCAAGCUGAUAUCAU